rnacentral:lncRNA from 1 species
AAACUUUUUAACCACACAGCCAAGUCUGCAUUAUAUAUGAUGGACUCUCCUGUAAAAGAUGAUAUCUGAGCAUUCAGCUUUUGCCAAACGAUCUGCUCAAAUGAUUUGUUUAUAGUGACCAAAUGUAUGUACUGUACAUUAGCUCCUUGCUCUGUCUCCAUCAAAUCGACAUUGCAUGAACAGGUGCACUGUGUACCACAUGUCAGAUGUUGAAGUGAUCGUAGAGCGACAUGAGACGAAUUGUUUUGAUAAAGGACACAACACACCACCCGGUCUAGGGAUUGAAACCACGAUCUUGCAAUCAGGAGUGCAACACCCUAACCACUAGGCCAUGCAUUCUCAAGCAUUACACACAUACAUGUACACACACUUUUGAAUGUUGAUCCUGAUGAGACAUGAACAUGUAAUCCUCAGCUCCAGAGGCUGAUGCCUUAUUUAUAUAUAUAUAUAUGUGAUAUAUAUAAGGAUUACUGAUUGGUGGUGGGGAUGGGGAUAUUCUGGUAGAAAUUGUAAAACACCCAGAUAUGGUACUUCAUGAUCAUGAAAGUGAUACGGUAAAGUAUAUAGAAAUCCCUUUUUGACUUGGCAAAAUGGAAAUGCUUAUAAGAGAGGUGCUAUGGUCACUUGAGUUAUUUCAGUCUAUGUCUAUUGCUGACAUGGCACAAUGGAAAUUAGCAAGGAGUCUUAUGAGGUUUGAACUCAGAAAGAGAGAGAGAGAGAGAUGAUACUUGAGACUAGUGUUUUGAAACUGUAGAUAAAAGUUGUAUGCUGUGAGGAAGGAAUAUCUACUCCUUCAAUAGAACUCUUCAUUGGAGAGAGAGAGAGAUGAAGUAUUUGCUAGUAUUGUGGGAUAAAUAGAUUGGAAGUAGAAAGGUUAAAAGAACAAUAGUAUAACAGCGAAGAAUAGAGUUGGAGGUAAAGAAGGAAAGAGAGAGAAAUAAGGAGAAGCAUGUGUUCGUCGAGUGGAUAAAGAUAAAUGAAAGUGAAGGCAAAAAAAGAAUGUCAGUUGAUUUGACAAACAUUGAAAGAGGAAGUGAGAAUAUAAGGAAACACUAAUCAAACACAGACAUGCACCACCACCCCACACACAUACAUGUCUGCAUGUGUGUGCACAUGCACAAGCAUUACAUAUAGUAUGUGUACAUGUAUAUUGGUACACGUUUUGUGUGUAUGCAUGUAUAUAUUUAAGUAAGUUGUAUGUGUGUAUAUAUAUAUGUAUGUACGUAGUGUGAUUGACAGCACAUAUAUACCAUGUGUGUAACAACAGAAUUAGCAACAGAUGCCCAAUAAACAUAAAAUCAACAAAUAUUGAGUGCACUUUUGUUUUUGUUUAUAAACAUAAACCUCUGUGUGUUAAGGGAAUGUAUGUUUGAUAAAAGUAUACGUUAACAGGUGUCAUCAUUACAGUGUAACAUGUCACAGAUGAUUUCUUUAGGAUAAAUAGCUUCUCAGCUAAAACCUUGCAAGCCAAAGAACUGUAAUAGCCAGUGUCAGCAAAAGAUAUACAUUGUAAUUCAUGAGUUGGGAAACGAAGAGAGGAAUCUGACAUUUUUGGACUGACCAUUUGAGAGAGAAGGAGAGAAAAGCUGAAGUCAAGUAUCAAAUGUCAGAUUGCUUUUUUCCCCAUAACAUACAAACUUUUCUGUAUAUGUGUGUGUUACAUAUAUAUCCUUAUCAUCAUCAUCAUCAUUGUCAUCUUAGCAUGCACCUUUCCAUGUUUACCUGGGUAGAUGGAGUUUAUUGAGGCAGAUUUUCUGCAGCUAGAUGAACUUCCUGUUGCCAACCCUUGUUUCCAAAGAAGGUGAUAUUUCUUGAUAAGCAGAAAUGUUUUUGCAGAAUAUUGGAAAUGAAUGAUACUGCUUGUAUAACAGUGAUACUUAUUUACAGCUGUCAAGCUAUAUCAAGAAAAGGAUAUAUAUAAACUCACACAUGCAUGUGUAUGUGUGUGUAUAUAAAUAUACACAAUCAUUUAAUGUCUUCCUUCCAUGCUGGCAUAGGCUGGACGGUUUGACAGAUAGUUUGAGUGUGGCUGCUGCCAGUACCACCUCACUGGCACAUAAAAGCACCCACUACACUCUUGGAGUGGUUGGCACUAGGAAGGACAUGAAGCAGUAGAAAGUCUGCCAGGUCAGAUUGAAACCUGGUACAGCCAUCUGGUUCGCCAGUCCUCAGUCAAAUCAUCCAACUCAUGCUAGCAUGGAAAGCGGACGUCAGACAAUGAUGAUAGUUAGUGAAGAUAUUACAUACAUGAUCGACAGAUCAUGGAUUCAAUUCCUGGACUGUGCAGUGUGUUGUGUUUUUGAACAAAAUAUUUCAUUUUACAUUGCUCCUCAGGUGGGAGAGUAACAGAAUUGUUGGCCCAUCUGCAGAGAUGCCUUAUGAUAUAUCUUCUGGUUCUCUACAUUCUGAAUUCAAAUCUCAGCUGCCUGGAGAAGGCAACAGGAAACCACUCCAGUGUUCAUCCCAAAUCUAGUCAUGGAAGCUGAAAUUCCAGUCAUUUACUUAAUGGUGGCAGGAGAAGGCAUGGGCCCUCCCUAGUCAGAGAGUACGGGAGAAGGUUCGCAUACACAGGACCUGCCCAAGGGCAGACCACCACUCGACUAUAUAUGUAUUAUUUCAUUUUAUUUUGUUCCUUUGCAAGGGACAUCAAUUUCAGCUUAGUUCUGAAUCUGUUUUAUUAUUAAUGUGUAAUCUCACAACUCGGUCAUCUUACAUUGCCCUGUUUCCUCUCAGCUCAACAAUAACUAUCAUACUUGUUACUAUUAUUAGUAUUAGUAGUAGUAGUAGUAAAUGUAUUUUCGUUGUUAAUUUUACAGUAGUUUUCAUUAAGCUUUUUUAACAGCAUUAAAGAACACAGCAAUAAAUAUGUCUACUAUUUUAUCCCCUUCUGAUCAUCCACCACCACUGCCACCUCUAUGGAGGAUGUACAUGUUUUAUUCCCCCUGGCAAUUCAAAACCACCCCUUCCUCCCAUGUAUAUGUGUACAUGUAUUUGUAUGUCUGUGCAUGAGUGUGUGCAUAUAUAUAUGUAUGUAUGUAUACACACAUAUACAUAUGUAGGUGGCGUGGCUAUAUGGGUAUACAUGUGUAAUCUAUAUGUUUGGUAUGUGUAUAUGUGAGAGUGCAUAUAUAUAUAUAUACGUAUGUAUAUUCAUGAAGCAUUGGUGGGUUAUGUAUGUGCACAUUUAGAUUCACCAUUGCUUAAGGCCACUAAGUGCCUAAUUAAAAUAUCCCCACUUCUUCAACCCUUGCUGAUCCCCUCACCUCUGCAUGCAGUUCCUUGUACCUGAAGAUUUUAUAGGGAUGAGGAAAGUGUAAUUUGUUGAAUAACAAAUACUUGUUUCACUGGACAUGUGCAAAUAUGCUUUGCAUGUUGACAUUCUUAAGAUUUUUUCCAGAUGCCAAAAACAAUCCCCAAUUACUGCCCCACUCUUCCAAAAUCCACUUCCUUAGAGCCAUCAUGACCAAUGCCAGCAGAAUAAACAGUAAGUUUGAUGAGAUUGUUGAAAUGCGAGAGCAGAAGCAUGUAGAUGUGUGCUGUUUGCAUGAUGGAGAGGAGCUUCAGCUAGAUUCCUCACAGCAAAGACACAAAUUCUUUUGCAUAGGUACCAGUGAGUCUUCAAGUUGUGUAGGUAUACUUUUGGCAGAAAAAUGGAAAAUAAAGUGAGGAAGCUAGUCAGGCUUUGUGAUAGGAUUGUUAAACUAAGUCUAAUAUUAGGUAAUACAGCAGUAGAUUUAUCUUAUCAUAUACUCCACAUGCAGGUUUGGCAGAUGAAAAAUCUGAUGCAAACAGAAGCCAGAUUCACUACAUUUGCAUCAGAAAAUGAGAUGUCCUCCUUGGGUAAGGAAUGUACAAUCCAACAUAGAUUAGUUGUUAGUAUCUUCAGACUUGGAGCUAGAAGAACUCAAGAUGCAAAUUGUGAAAGUUUAAAAAGGUCUAUUGAACACUCAGAGAUUUAGAGAUAUCAUAACUGAACAUUCAACAAGGAGGAAGCGACAGAAACAUAAAACAAAGGACAACUGGAAGUUCUUAUAAGCCAACCUAAUGAAGGUGACCGACCAAUUCUGAGGUUGGUGCGAAGUUCCAGCUAGAUCAAAGGUGAUGUGGUGGUGAAACAGAAGUAGACACAACCUUAACUUGGAAAGAUUAGAGAAAUGGGAGGAGCGGAGAAUUAUACCAGAAGAGAAGCUAGGUGGAAGGGAAGCAGAUGCCUAUGAUCUGCAGUAUGAGAACAACAGGCAUCAGGUGUUCAAGAUUCCAAGAUAGUGAACGAGAGAAAAUAGAUGCUAUAGGAGAAAAGUAUGUAUGGAUAAUGGAACACUUGCACUUAGGUUUUCUGAAAAAGGG